rnacentral:tRNA from 1 species
GCGGGGAUAGCAAAGUUUGGUCAAAUGCGCAGGACUUAAGAUCCUGUCUCUUAGUGGGUUCGAGGGUUCAAAUCCCUUUCCCCGCACCA